UGGGGAAUUUUGGACAAUGGACGCAAGUCUGAUCCAGCCAUGCCGCGUGCGGGAAGAAGGCCUUCGGGUUGUAAACCGCUUUUGUCAGGGAAGAAACGAGUUUCUCUAAUACAGAGACUUAAUGACGGUACCUGAAGAAUAAGCACCGGCUAACUACGUGCCAGCAGCCGCGGUAAUACGUAGGGUGCAAGCGUUAAUCGGAAUUACUGGGCGUAAAGCGUGCGCAGGCGGUUAUGCAAGACAGAGGUGAAAUCCCCGGGCUCAACCUGGGAACUGCCUUUGUGACUACAUAGCUAGAAUACGGUAGAGAGGGAUGGAAUUCCACGUGUAGCAGUGAAAUGCGUAAAUAUGCGGAGAAACACCGAUAGCGAAGGCAAUCACCUGGACCUGUACUGACGCUCAUGCACGAAAGCGUAGGGAGCAUACA
rnacentral:rRNA from 1 species